rnacentral:lncRNA from 1 species
GGAGCCUGCAUGCAGCAGCUGUUAUGGAGGAUCUGGGGCUGAAUGACCAGUUGCCCAGAGGGAGAGAAAGGAGUUGUAUAUGGCCUGGCAAACAAGAAGGAAAAGAAGUGGCAAGUUGUUACUGUCUUGUUGGGAAGAGUUGCAUGGUCCCUGAUCACUUGUUGCAUGACCAGCAAACACCUUGCUGAGAGCUGUAGACCAGGCCAUUUGCUAGAGCAGCUCUGUGAUGCCAGCAACAGCCAUGUAAGGGGUGUAUGCUGGAGGAAAAACUUGGCCUAUGGAGCUGUAUUAGCUGGCAUUUCAAAGGAAAAAAAAUACCCAUCACAAACUGCAUAA